UUGUAGUACCAAUAAAAUACUCAGUUCUUCCAGUUUUCUUAGUCUAAGGGUAGAGCAUUGGUGAGAAAGAUGUGGGGCCCUAAGACAGAAUGGAGACUUUUGAGCAGACAAGAAUGAAGAUGAGAAUGCUGAACCUGCAGAUCCCCCAAACUUCCUUGGCUCUCUGGGGAAACUAGCCUCCUCUGCAUAGAGGCUUUCGGUGACUGCACUGGGAACAGCUCUCUCAUAGGCUGGUAUCUGUUCUCAGAACGUACCUUCAUCACCUCACAGUAUCCCUAGAUAAAUCUCAAGAUCACCUAAUCAGAGAAGUAUGUGGCCUGCUAUGGCAUGAGAUAACCUACACAGGAGUUAAAGACCUGACCAUGUUGAUCAGCAGAAACCUGAGGAGUAUAUAUAGAAGUGGGUUCUAAGGAUGUUACACCAAGGGGGAAUCAAUACAAGGUUUUAUCAUGGCAAAUUUAUUGGCAUGGGUGCACUCACCUGAGAAUCAACAUCUCAUAUAUUGGCAUUAAUAGUUUGCUAGGAUGAGGCAUGGGCUCAAUAACAGUCUACAAAUAAUAAAUGACCUACAAAUGAAAUUUGAAGUAAUAAUUUCAGAAUCCCAGAAAUACUCUGGCAUACUGUAGAGAAGAGAAAACAAGGGCUCCUUAGACAUUCUCCAUUUUUACCAAGUCAUUAAGGAUGCAUUGGUGAUAGAAGUAUAAGCAUCCCUAAAGAGCUCUGAAGUGGCUGCCCUCUGUUUGUCAGAUUGAUGGUGAUAAAUGCUGUGGUAGAACUGAGUUUCCUGAUCUCAGAAUAAGAUAAUCUCAAAUUGGUAGAGGCCACGUGAUGGCAUAUAACCAUCAGAGACAUGGUGGGCACAAUUACCAUAAUAAUCCAAAGAAGAGAACGUUAAUCAGAGUGUUUUGACUUUCAGGGAAAGGUGGUAAUGGUUAAAGGAUAACAAGAAAGGAAGCAGAUUAAGUAAUAGAUUAAGUAGCCUACUAAUUUGCUGCUUGACAUAUAUAGGUGGGAAAAUUCUAAACUAACUUGUGUUGUCAUAAUGAAAUUUGAAGCAUCUCAUCCAGUUCACAGACCUGGAACUCUUUGAUGAUGGAGAAAGAUUGGGUCCCUUUGAAGAAAAAUCCUGCAAUGCUGCCACAGGUGUAUAACCAUGAACCUUCCCCUAAUCCCAUGCUUCCCAAACGUGUCUGUACUUUAGACCACCGUAAAAUUCUCAAGAACAUCCAGGCCAAUUAAAUCAUAAUUUCAGGGAGUGAGACCCAGGCAUUGAUAUUUUUUGAAGCUCCCCUGGUGAGCAAAUUAUGGGAUCACUGCCCUAAUUCUUCUCUAGUGGCCAUUUCCUGGAGAAAGGAAAAUACCAGACCUCCUGAGGCUUAUUAGAUACUGUCUCUUAACUUAUAUUAAUACCUAGAGACCCAAAACCUAAUCCUGGACAACUGGUUAAAAUAGGAGGCCUAGGAAACUUAAGUGACAGAUGGAGUCUUGGCCUGCAUCUGGGUUAACAGUGAGUCCAGAGAGACCCAUAUUGGGGUUAUUUCUCCAGUCUUAAUGUGUAGUAAGAAUAGACAUAUUUUAAUAACUGAAGCAGUCUUCAUUUUAGUUUCCUGUCCAAUGGAGUGAAUGCUAUUAUGGUAGGAAGGGCUAUGUAGAAGUUCGUAACUGCUUGUCUCUCACCAAAGCAGUACUGCAUCCCUGGGGAACUUGCAGAAAUUAGUGCCACCAUGCUGGCAUAGUGAUUCAUACCACAUUCCCACUUAACUUCCCUUUGUGGUCACCAGAUGGGUCAUAGGGAAUGACAGUAUAAAAACCAAAUGGGUAGUAAAGAAUGACUGGAUUACUGCAAGAUUUUAUCAGGCAAAGAUGCCAAUUGUAGUUGCUGUUAUAGGCGUGGUAUCUUCAUUGGAGGAAAUGAAUACAGACUUUGAUAUGAUAUAUAGGUAUUGCUCUGGAAGUGCCCCCUCAUUUCCCAUUCCAGUUAUUCAGGGAAAUCAGAAGUAGAUUGUGUUUAACUGACAGAGACAACAGUAAGCCCUUACUGUCUUGUCUCAGCACUGUGCCACCUUUCUAUUCUGUGCUGAAGGGACCUUGAUCAUCUUUCUAUGCGAUAGAAUAUCACACUGGUCUAUUAUAGAAAUGAACGUUAAAUGAGCCCAAAGAGCAGGAAGUAGUAAACACUCUACAUGCUUUGGUAAGACAUAUGCUUAGCAGAAGGUGCAAGAAAUACCCUGUAAAACUUCAGGGACCUGCCACAUGGGAUUCAGUGGCCAGAGACCUGUUAGGUUAUCCAUUCAAGUGAGUGACUGUUGUGUUUUUCACCACGACAGUAAAGAAAAAGGCAAAAUGUGUGGCAGGCCUUUUUAGGUUCUGGAGACAACAAAAUAGUACUUUUGGGUGACCUAACCUGUUUUAUGGGUAACUGUAAUUUUGAGAGGGGCCCAGAGCAAACUGUCUUGCCGGUCGGGCCUUAUGGUUAGGCAGAUACAAUGGUAUUGGAAGUUCAUGUGGUAGAGAUGCUAUAUGAAGCCUCUGAGGGUAAGUGCCAAUAGGAGAAUCACAAGAUUCCUUGGUUUUUGAGUAAAGAUCUAUCUUCCUCAACCAAUGUUUUGUUUUGUUUCUUUGAAAAGCAGCUCCUGGUUUGCUGCUGGUACCUGAUAGAGAUGGAACUCCUGACCAUGGGACAUCAAGUGACUAUGUGAAUGAUCGAACUACUACUCAUCAUGAACUGGUGUUAUCUGAUUCACCAAUCAUACAACUGGAUGGGCAUAACAGCAGUUCACUCCCUACAAAACUGGGUACAUGGCCACAACUAAACUGAAUAAGCAGUAGAUUUUGGCAUGCCCAAAUCUGGAGGUGAAAAAAGCAACAACAACAAAAAAAACAGAGCAGCAAGGAAAAUCGGUUAUUAUUUUAAUUUUGCAGUUCUUCCACCACAUCUUAUUUGCAAAGGCGUGUAAUAAAUAAAAGUGAUACAGUAAAACCUAAGUUACCAGAAUGCUUGGGAAAUGAGUCAUCUGGAUAGGUAAGUUUUCCAUAGGGUACGUUUAUGCGCAUAGAAAAAA